AUUCAUGUAGUUUAAUUAAAACAUUCCAUUUUCAAUGGAAAAAUGAAUUUAUUCCAUGAAUU
rnacentral:tRNA from 1 species